GACGUUGGUGAACAGAGGGAGACUGAGCUGCUUGUUUGCUGAGUGCCCGACACUAAUCCUCACCCGGUAACACCGGAAAUAGAAUGUCUAUGGAGGUUAUUGGGGAUUAGAAAUCUGAAUAUGAAUUAUUAGGAGAAUAGAAUUCACCAUGUGAGGGAUCAGGGGGUUAAUCUCUCUAUACAGGAUACUGGGGGGAUUAGAUAAUCCUAUACAGGAUACUGGGGGGGUUAGAUAAUCCUAUACAGGAUACUGGGGGGAUUAGAUAAUCCUAUACAGGAUACUGGGGGGUUAGAUAAUCCUAUACAGGAUACUGGGGGGGUUAGAUAAUCCUAUACAGGAUACUGGGGGAUUAGAUAAUCCUAUACAGGAUACUGGGGUGGUUAGAUAAUCCUAUACAGGAUACUGGGGGGGUUAGAUAAUCCUAUACAGGAUACUGGGGGGGUUAUAUAAUCCUAUACAGGAUACUGGGGGAUUAGAUAAUCCUAUACAGGAUACUGGGGGGAUUAGAUAAUCCUAUACAGGAUACUGGGGGGGUUAGAUGAUCCUAUACAGGAUACUGGGGGGGUUAGAUGAUCCUAUACAGGAUACUGGGGGGGUUAGAUGAUCCCUAUACAGGAUACUGGGGGGGUUGGGUGUCCUAUACAGCACAGGAUACUAGAGUUUAGAUGUCCUAUACAGGGAUACUGGGGUUAGAUAAUCCUAGCACAGGAAUACUGGGGGGUUGAAUGUCCUAUACAGGGGUACUGGGGGAUUAUCUCUCUAAACAGGAUACUGGGGGAUGAAUGAUGUCCUAUACAGGAUACUGGGGGUUAGAUAAUCCUAUACAGGAUACUGGGGGGGUUAGAUGAUCCUAUACAGGGUACUGGGGGGGUUAGAUAAUCCUAUACAGGAGACUGGGGGAUUAGAUAAUCCUAUACAGGAGACUGGGGGAUUAGAUAAUCCUAUACAGGAUACUGGGGGGGUUAGAUAAUCCUAUACAGGAUACUGGGGGUUGGGCUAAUCCUAUACACGGGAUGCUGGGGGGUUGGGCAAAUACAUAUACAGGGAUACUGGGGGGUUGGAUAAUCCUAUACAGGAUGCACAGGGGUUAGAUAAUCCUAUACUGGAUACUGGGGGUUAGAUGAUCCUAUACAGAAUACUGGGGGGGGGGGAGGGGGCUUAGAUGAUCCUAUACAGGAUACUGGGGGGAUUAGAUGAUGCUAUUUCGUAUAUAGGGGAAAUAGAUGUCCCUAUGUAGGUUUUUGGGGGAUUAGAUGUCCCUAUGUAGGCUAUGGGAGUGGGGAGUUAGUUAUCCUUUUUAGAUAGUAAUUUCUUUUCUAUCAGUAACCUAAACAAGGAUAACGAACUCCCUACUCCCAUAACCUACAUAGGGAGAAGUUAGUAUGUAUUUUUUCGGGGAUUAGAUGUCUGCAUAUAGAUUAUUGGGGAGUAGAUACCCAUGUAUAGGUUAUAAGGGUGGGUUAGAUGCCCCUAUGUAGGUUAUUGGAGGAAUAAAAGUUCUUAUAUAAUGGAGGGUGGUGUUAAGGGGAUUCGAUGUCUAUAUAUAGGUAACUGGGAGAAUAGAAGUCACUAUAUAUAGUAUUUGGGGGUAUUAGAUAUCCCUAUGUUGGUUUCUCUAGAUAAAAAGGCAGUGAUUGCUUAGAGAUGCCAGGGGGGCUAGGGAUACCCCAGUGACUGCCCGAUAUAUAUGUUAAUCUUGUUUGAGAUUUUUAUUACACCUUAUAUUACACAUAGAGAGGAAUGCUUCUAAUGCUUCCCGUUUUUUAACAGAUGCACAAAGUUCACAUGAAGAGGGGAUCCCUUCUUAUGUUAGAAUAGAGAUUAAAUGUGUUCUGGUACAUCUCUUGAAAUCUUUUGCUACUGCUAAUCUAUUUCUUCUCGCUGUAGGGCUCUAUAAAGAAGACCUGCAUAAUUACUGCUACCAUACAAGCUUCACUCUCACAGGUGCUAACAGAUGAUUGAGAUUCACGAACGCCUCUUUUAGGGUAAGCUAAUUGAUUAAACUUUUGUAGAUAUUCAAUUCAUGAAUUUGCCUUCCGAUUGAAUUUAUGAUUACGAACCUAUUUGAUUGAUGGUUCAUGUCUAUGAAACUCCAAAUAAUUGCCCCCUCAUUUCCCUUUUUUCUGUGUAUAUUUGGAAUUUAGACCAGAUUCCUAUUGGGUCGAGCACCCCACCCAUCCACUAAUGGUGCACCUUUGGAGGUGAUACCAGAAAAGCAUACAUUUAGCAGAAUCUCUAAAAGCAGUUUAAGCAGUAAAUAUUGCAGUUAGCAUGUUAAUCUCCCAUGUUAGAAUUAUUGUAGGACCCACCGAUAUUGGGGUACUGCUGUGACGUAUUGGUGGGCUUAACAUAAUAUGACCAUAUGGUGUAACUGAAUCCCCAUAUUUAUUUGCUAUGAUAUGUGAUUUCGAGUAGCCUUGUAAAACUGUAUUUUUAUUUAUUUAUUAUUUUUUUGUGAGCACAGUUCCCUAAUCUGUAUUUUCGAUAUAUUUACGGCACGCCUAUUAAAUAAUUAGUGUUAAUGAUGGAUUGUUAAACAAUCUCAUGGGCUCUAAAACUCAAACACUCACUGACACGUUUAAAAGGGCUCUAUCUCUUACUCUAAUUUGCAUAAAAUUAAAGUGUAAAUAAAAAGAAACAUUGAAUGAGGCCCCAUUCCGAUUGAUUGUGGAGAUCGAUUUUGUAACAGGAUCAGCGUACAAUGGUCUCAGGCUUGAGGACCAGAGCUGACCUGUUACCACGUCCAUCCCUUCUCCCUGUCCCUAAGGGUUCUGUGAAGCAACCUUCAGCUUUUCUUCUUCCAUAACCCACAGCAAAUCACUUGAGGAAGUGUUGAAUAGCUCUUUUGCAUCGCUCCCCAAACACCAGCCAAUGUGAAUUUUAUUAAUGACAGGACUCGGGAAGAUAACAGAAACACAGAUUUUAGAACAUAAAUCCCCAAUAUUCAGUCUUUUAGUGUCACAGAGCCUAUUAAUGUAAUCUAGUGGACACAAUGUUCUUUAUCUCUACCCCCUGAUUUUGUACGGGCUCUUUAAUACAGCAGACGGUGGGAUAUGAUGUCACAUUUCCCUGCAUCCAACUGCAUGAGGCACCAAACCAUAGGAAGAAGACACAGGAGUACUGAACGUUACAAGAGUAUUUACGUUUCCAGACUUUCUCCUAGAGAAUGGGC
rnacentral:lncRNA from 1 species